rnacentral:rRNA from 1 species
AUUGAACGCUGGCGGCAGGCCUAACACAUGCAAGUCGAACGAGUGGCGGACGGGUGAGUAAUGUCUGGGAAACUGCCUGAUGGAGGGGGAUAACUACUGGAAACGGUAGCUAAUACCGCAUACCCUCAGAUGUGCCCAGAUGGGAGUAGCUAGUAGGUGGGGUAACGGCUCACCUAGGCGACGAUCCCUAGCUUGUCUGAGAGGAUGACCAGCCACACUGGAUCUGAUCCACGGUCCAGACUCCUACGUGAGGCAGCAGUGGGGAAUAUUGCACAAUGUGCGCAAGCCUGAUACAGCCAUUCCGCGUGUAUGAAGAAGGCCGUCGGGUUGUAAAGUACUUUCAGCGGGGAGGCGUUACCCGAAGAAGAAGCACCGGCUAACUCCGUGCCAGCAGCCGCGGUAAUAG